CCGGGGCACGCUGCAUCCGCUAACAAGCCGCUACGUGUGCUAUUUAUAGCCGUCCCCACAGCGGCGGUGGUCCCCGGGGGGGGGCACGGCACGAUGGCUGAGCCCAGCCCCAGCCCUGGCACGGCGAGGGAGCCGGGAUGCUGCAGUGGGGCCACUGCGGGUCGUCCCCUUGUCCUUGAGCGCUCGGGGUCAAACCUGGCCGAGGUUUAUAGCGCUGCAAAUUGAUUAGCAUCGGCUCAGCAUCGCGCCACAAUCGAUGCUGGGGAAGGGAAAUGCAGCAGCCGCCGUCGCACAGGUACUUUCCGGGCUCUGCACACCAGGGGGCUGCGGAGGAUGGAUAGGGGAGAGCAGAGGGACAGCCCUGUCCCCUGGGGGUGUCCCCUGUCCCCAGCCCCGGGACAGAUGGCUCAGCCAAGCCAGGAGAGUGAUGUGUCCCUCAAGGCUUCCAUGGCCACGGGUCCCUGCUGUGGGGAUGGGCAUUAGCAUCCUUAAUCGGUGCCACCCGGAGUGUCGACACCCAGCGAGGUCGGAGCGGCUGGAAGUGGCAGCCGGGAAGUCAUCCUCCGUCUGGGAUCCGGAGCUGUGGAUACAGGGAGGCAGUUACGGAGAAGGAGGUGCAGCAGUGGUGAGUGGCCGGCGUGUUGGUGAGCUGCCGGGGCGCGGGGCUGGUGGGCAAGGGGCCGGGAGCCGGUGGCACACAGCAACCCCUCCGGCCGUGCAGAGCAAGGGGUGCAGGAGAUGCUCCUCUUCUGGGGUGCAGGCGUUACCUCAGAGAGGGGACACCAGAAAAUAGAGGGGGUUUUCCUGCACACCUCAUGCCCGGUGCGUGGCGGGGCUCAGCUCUGGCUGCUCUCGGCCACCCGUGUGGGAUGGUCACGCUCCUUCUCACCUCUUCCCUCCCCGUAUGGGUGGCUGUGGGGUGUGGGGACAAGGGGACUGUCCAGCUGGUGGUCGUGGCCAUCCCAGGGGGAGGCUGGUGCUGUCCCAGCGUGUCCCCGUUGGCAGCAGAGGCUGGCAGGGCCGCGGUGCCUCACCGGCAGCACGCUCUCGCCCCAUCCCUCCGCCCCACCAAACGCGACGCCCUAGAAAAGCCACCGCUUCCCUUUCAUCUUCCAAUCCCACCAGUCAAGGUUUGCUUUCUUUAUCUCUUUCUGUCAUCCUUUCCCCCCUCCUCCUUCCCUUCCCCCCCCCCCAGUCCCCGAUGAGUCAUAGCUGCAGCAGCGUGAAAAAAGAUGUCACCGGCACUUCGGUUUCCCACCUCGCCACCCCCUUCCCCUCCUCCUCCAGCCCUCGGCCCGUCGCAGCGGGCGCCUGACAGAUCUGGGCGACGCGUUGCAUAAUGCUCACACACCCUGCGGGGUCCCCGUGUGGUCCCCGUGUGGUCCCUGCACCCGUGGAGCCGGUGAGCCCCUUCCCCUGCACCCCCUUGGCUGGCACUGUGCAGCAUCCCGGUCCAGCCUGGAGCUGGGACCAAGGUCUUUGGGGGUGUUUAAGUGCCAAUGGGUUUUGGGAGAUGCCCUUGGCUGUGCCACCCUGAGGACUCAGUGACCAUGUCCCCCAGCUCCCCCGAGCAGCUUUCCCUUGGGGUCAUGCAAGAAAUUGUGGGGUCUCGGCUGCCCCAGGUGCUUGGGGCCGCCGUGCUGCUGGUUUUUACUGGGGCCCGGCUGCAGCACGUGGGUUGCAAAUUGCCUGUGGGGUUGCUGUCAAUCCUGAGUCCGAGGUGGAAAGGCUCUGGGGGAGCUUUCCCGGCCGGAGAACUGGUCGGAUGUGCCAAAUGUAGUGGGGCCACACCG
rnacentral:lncRNA from 1 species